rnacentral:lncRNA from 1 species
AGAGCACAGAUGAUGUCUCAAUCAUCAUUGUGUCCGCAAUGUCAAGAAAGCACAAUUCUCAUCACAUAGCAAGUCCUCCAGAAAUAGACUGGAACACGGAUAACAAAUACCUGCUGGGUUUGCUGCCACUACUACUUAAUCCUUCCUCUAUAGCUGGCAUUGCUAAUCACUCAUGACACUUUCCUGCUGAGCCCACAUGUAGACUCAGAUGGCUACAGGCAGUAACCACCAAUUGAUCAGAGCUGGCACACAAGAUGGAACCUAUUUGCAAUCCCUGGUCUAGAACAUUGUACCAUCUCUACUGAGCUGCUGCUUUGGGACUGACUUUACCAGGAGGCUCACCACAGGGGGUUGGAGUAGUCCUAGAAGGUGAAUAAAUGGCAGAGCCCACAUGGCAUACAAGAGGACAAGGUUUGUCACUCACAGGUUCUGGAAGGAAAGGUACAAGGAGCUGACAUGAACCUGAUUUUUAACCUGAAGCAGACAGAGUUGGGACCAGCUGGCCUGCAGUCCUGUGAGCAAGAAAUCGAUGUGCAUACUCAUGAGUAAACCAUAAACAUUUGCUGUUAUAACCCAGGAAGCUUUGGGAGUUGAUUUUUAUGUGGUGUUAUGGCAACAAUUGUUGAUGAAUGUGGGUAUACAGUAUUGGAAGUUCUCAUGUGUCUUUGAUGGCCAGCCUCUCAGUGCUUACAGAGCUCCUCAGCCUCACCAGAUAUUUCCCACUUGAAUAAUGAAGUUGUAUGGUUGGGAAUAGACAUUUUGGCUAUUUGGGUCAAUAGGUUUAGGACCUUUGGAGGAUUCAAGACUGGUAGAAAACCACAGCAUGGUCUAAGAUGCAGGUGUUCAUGCCUGCAGGUAAGUAGAUGCAUCAUUAACUUCAAUAAUAAUAAAUAAAAUUUAAAGAGAUUUUUCGAUUAUCAUAAACUGAAUGAACUAAAAUUAACUUUCUAACAAAUAGCCACAAAUUUCUAGCGUGUUUAUCUUUCCCAUAUGUUUCCCAGCUCUGCUAAGUUGGAAGCCUCAAAACCAUCAACCAAUAAAUCAUUCCUUGGGUUUCACUUUGGGGACCAAUUAAAACUAUCAACAUGUUUUCUUCCAUUACACUGGGAGUUUUAUCUCCAGCUGUUGGGAUCUGAGCUUCUAAAAGUAUGAAGCAUGACUACCCAGGGAAAAGGCACGUGAGACAAUUGGAGGAAAAUAGACUCUAUUGAAAGCUAGUUUAUGUAAGCUUAGUGCUUCCACCCUCCUCACUUCAUUCAGAAGGCACAAGCUUUACUAAACAUGUGGUAAAUAAUACAGCUGGCACCACAGCAGGAAAGGUGCUGCCCCUAAACCUGGAGGGAGAGCUCCUGGCAGAUAAUCCAAGGGCUGGUAAUUUAUCACUUAUGCAAACACAGCACCUCUUGUGGGUCUCCUUUUACAUCUCCUGUUCUGUGAAACUUUCCACUGAAGACUUGGAUAAAUGUUUUCCAGAUGGUAUCAAUCAUGGAGUUACCUACUAAUAGGAAUCAAGGAAAAGUCAUUGAAUUAAUUAGCAAGUCAAACAGGAAAGGAAGAAGGACUGUGCUUGAAAGUAGAAAAAGAAGAGACCACUUGGAAUUAUCUAAUCAUCUAGAAACAAGGUCAUUCAGGAAAAGGGGGCUUGAUUAAGCAUCAGGAAACCUGAGACCUGGCCAACAGCCUGGUUCCUCCAAAUCACAGGCUUUGGAGUCUAACAGAUAGAGGUUAGAAUCUCAGCUCAGUCUCUAACUAUGCAUAGUGGGCAAGAUUCUUGGCCUCUCUGAGCCUCUGUUUCCUCAUAUGCUAAGGGAAAAAAGGAUGAAAUAUGCAAACUAUGUAAUACCAUUUUACAGACUUAGAUGUGUAGCAUGUGAAGCACUUAGCAAAGUGGCUACCAAUAGGCGGCACUUAAAAAAAAAAUUCUUUACUCUCACCUGUGAUCAGUUAAAUGAUUGGAAAACUAUUCACCCCUGUCUGAAACUACACCAUUGCCAUGAUCACAUCUUGAGCAGAGUGCACUUUCCCACUCCUUGCUUUGGGCUGACUACAUGAUUUGCUUAGACCAAGCAAUGUGGGUGGAAGUGACAAUGGGCUCGUUUUUAGACCAGGACUUAAGAGGCAUUAUGUUUCUACUUGCCCUUUGCACCUCCCCCAUCACCACAAGAAAAAUAUACCCAGGCUGUCUUGCUGGUCCAAGAAGGAGGAUAAAAGACACGAGAAGCAAAGCUGCCAACCCCAGGAAGCAAAGCUUCCAAACCCCUCCCAACACGAAGACAUGCGAGUGAUAAUAAAUAAUGGUUGUUUUUAGCCACUGAGUUUUGACGUGGAUUAAUUUCAGCUGCUGUAUCUCACAGAUUAUGUUAUCUCACAUUCCUUCUCUGGGUUCUAAUUGCAUAUCUGCUCAGGACUUACUAAAUGAAUAUCUUUUACAAUGCUGAUAUUAGAGGUAAGGCCCAGAAAAUGGCAAGCUAAAGAUGUCCCAGAAACUUCUACCGUAUAGUUGGCUUAAAUCUUAAACUCCAAACUUAGAUGUGUAAGAAAAGUAAUUUAACUUGGUUAUGACAAGACCUUUUUAUUUUUUAACAGUUUUAUUACAAAUCCCCUAUUUUGCUGGUUAGCAGAAACAUCUCUCAGUCAAUUCAGGGUUUCUCCUCCCUUAAGGAUUGGGUUUAACUUUAGGAGGCUCUGCAUGAUGAGGAGGUGGAAGGUGUUGGGAGGGAGAACCAGGGCACUGUCGUUCCUGUUGUUGAUCUCUGCAGUGCUCUCUCUUGGUCUACGUAAGUGAGGAUCUAAAAUCUGAUUCAUUCUUGGGUAAUCUUCUUUUAGAAGCCCAUGAUUAGACCCAACUGGAGGAAGUUUGGAGCUUCUCUCAGACAUGUAAGAAUUGUUCUGAAGAAUCUGCAUCUUGUUGGGUGAAGGACUUCAGAAUGUGCAAUAAAAAUGCAAUAGUCUUGGACCUAUGUAACUGGAAGGAACUGGUGGACAAGCUCUUACUGCUUCUCCAGGUUCUCACAAGAAAGCAGGCAUGGAUUCCUUUUGCACAGCUCCUCCAGGCUUUCUGGGCCCUGUCAUUCCUUCUUCUAUCUUCUGGGUUGAGCAACAUGCAAUCUCCCCUUGUGCAGAAGCCCAAAUAGCUACUGAAAAUGUGUCCUCUCUGACUUUCCCCAUUUCUUGAACUCUGAGAGACUUUUUCUAGUAUCAGUUCUGAGGAGCAUUGCUGUUUUCCUUCCUAUCAUCUGGAAGACCUAGACUUUAAAACUCAAAACCUGAGAAAAACUUCCUUUUUUUUCUCUCUUUUGUCUGGAUCAUCACUACCUUGAAAUACUAAAUUAGCAAAGUCCUAACUAGAAACUGAAUUGGCUAAAGAGUCAAGGAGCAACAGGUAAUUCCAAGAAAAACAACAGCAAACUUACAUCAGUUAACAUUUCAAAGCUAUUUUCCUUUGCAAUUUUGUGUAUCUGUUUUUAUGGAAUGCAAGAGAUAAUAGGCUAAAUGCUAUUUUGCAUAUGUGUUACAUUGGAUUUCUCACAUAUUCUACUACUUAACUCAAGAUGUUGAGUAAAUAAAUGAGUUAAUAAACUGGAAUUUCUAUAUCAGCUCUUGGUUCUAGUUAUGUUUCGUUUGUUUUGGAUUUUUUUUCUUUUUGAAUGCUUAUUCACUGGCCCAGCUGUAUUUAUGCCUAGAUUAACCAGAUACAUUGCCA